rnacentral:sRNA from 1 species
UAACCCCGUGACCCGCCCUCCUUGCUUCCUUCGCGCUGGAAGACGGGGAAGAUGAGAAGAAGAGUGUGUGAUCCAACUGGUUAGGGGCGAUAAGUGUUCCUAGCGUGAACCUUAGGCGUGCAUUCCCUUCCUCGGGUCGAAAUAAAUGAAUGACCUCGCCGACAUCGGGUUAAUGCAAAAAUAUUCCUCAGGAUUAGAAUCUACGGUGUAAGGCUUAAUUGUGCGCACUCGUAACCACAGGGUUUCUCUGUUUACCACGCUGGGAAAAUUAAAAUAGUACACUCUAACCGAUGGUGAGUUACCGAUUCCUGCUUUGAUAAACCAUAACCAGAAGAUCUGGACCAUACGGAGUACAGAAGAAUAAAUCAUAAAAUGGCCGACGCAAUAAGCCCAGAGUCUUGGCAAACUAUCCAAGAACCCCCGCACAUUCCGCUGGCCUUGGCAAGAGGAAGAAUGGAGCGGAGACACCCUCGACGGAUGCAUAUUCAUUGAAUGAAUCGACCAAAAUCUUCCCGACCAAAAUCUUUUCGUAGAAUAAGACUGGGGAUUUUCUUUGCUUUAUUUUUCAUGAAUCACUCCUGCAUAGGUUUGGGGUACGGGCACAUAGGCACCAUACAUACAUUCAGAUAGGAAUUAUGUAAAUGCAUCCCAUCGAGUAUCAGUUGUCAUCAGCAUACAGGUGAUAGCAAGAGUGGUUUUCCCUUCCCCACCUGUUUUUGUUGUCCCUUUUCUUCCAGAUCACUUAAAAUCGUUAAAAUCGUUAGUGCAGGAAACCUUUUGUUAAAGUAAACAAUAUAGCCUGAAGUAGAUAGAAAUGAUGACCC